GGCGCGGUGGCUCGAAAGGUAAGGCACCCAAUUGGCAAAGUGGGACGAUGCCGGUUCGAAUCCGGCCCGCGCCU
rnacentral:tRNA from 1 species